rnacentral:rRNA from 1 species
UACGAGGGGGGGCGAGCGUUGUUCGGAAUUAUUGGGCGUAAAGGGUGCGUAGGCGGCCUGACAAGUCUGAUGUGAAAUCCCCUGGGGCUCAACCCAGGGCCUGCAUCGGAAACUGUCGGGCUUGAGUAUGGGAGAGGUGAGUGGAAUUUUCCGGUGUAGCGGUGAAAUGCGUAGAUAUCAGGAAGAACACCCGUGGCUAAGGCGGCUCUCUAGUACGGUACUGACGCUGAGACGCGAAAGCGUGGGAGCGAACAGG